AUUGAACGCUGGCGGCAUGCUUUACACAUGCAAGUCGAACGGCAGCGCGGGCUUCGGCCUGGCGGCGAGUGGCGAACGGGUGAGUAAUACAUCGGAACGUGCCCAGUUGUGGGGGAUAGCUCGGCGAAAGCCGGAUUAAUACCGCAUACGACCUGAGGGUGAAAGCGGGGGAUCUUCGGACCUCGCGCUCUUGGACCGGCCGAUGGCAGAUUAGCUAGUUGGUGGGGUAAAGGCCUACCAAGGCGACGAUCUGUAGCUGGUCUGAGAGGACGACCAGCCACACUGGGACUGAGACACGGCCCAGACUCCUACGGGAGGCAGCAGUGGGGAAUUUUGGACAAUGGGCGAAAGCCUGAUCCAGCAAUGCCGCGUGUGUGAUGAAGGCCUUCGGGUUGUAAAGCACUUUUGGCGGGAACGAAAAGGACUGUGCCAAUACCACGGUUCGAUGACGGUACCCGCAGAAUAAGCACCGGCUAACUACGUG
rnacentral:rRNA from 1 species